GGAGGUGUUGCUCAGUGGUAGAGCGCUCGCCUAGAAUGUGUGAUGCACUGGGUUUGAUUCUCAGCACCACCU
rnacentral:tRNA from 1 species